AUCUUUAUCUGUUUCUCAUGUGACUCUGAAGCCUCCUUCUUUCCUUCAACAUACCCAAGGUUUGGACGUUGGUGCUAGGGAGAAGCAAGGAAAUCCUAAAGCAUGUCUUCACUUAAAGUUUCCGCUCAAAUGGAUUAUGAUUUGCAGCAUGGCCACCUAACAGCUUUCGUUUAUUGGGUUAAUGAGAGAAUACAUUCAAGGUAUAUAGUUUGCUGUUAGUGCUUUUAUGACUUGUGAUAAUGUUCGAGAAUGGUCCUUUCUGGUGCUAGUUUUAAAUGAUGUACAAUUGUUUUUGUUUUUGUUUUUUAAUUCUUAACCCUUCCCCUAUUCCCAACUGUGGUUUGUUUUGUACCAAAGAAUGAAUAUCGAACUGUGGUUUUCUUCCUU